AGCCUACGGGGGGCAGCAGUGGGGAAUAUUGGGCAAUGGGCGCAAGCCUGACCCAGCAACGCCGCGUGAAGGAAGAAGGCUUUCGGGUUGUAAACUUCUUUUGACAGGGAAGAGCAGAAGACGGUACCUGUCGAAUAAGCCACGGCUAACUACGUGCCAGCAGCCGCGGUAAUACGUAGGUGGCAAGCGUUGUCCGGAUUUACUGGGUGUAAAGGGUGCGUAGGCGGUCCGGAAAGUCAGCGGUAAAAGCCCGGGGCUCAACCCCGGCGAGCCGUU
rnacentral:rRNA from 1 species